GGGCUCGUAGCUCAGCUGGCAGAGCACACGCAUGGCAUGCGUGGGGUCAGGGGUUCGAAUCCCCUCGAGUCCA
rnacentral:tRNA from 1 species